GCGCUGGUGGUGUAGGGCGUAGUAUCGCUACCCGGAGAGCAGAAAGCGCUGGUUCGAGUCCGGCCUGGCGCA
rnacentral:tRNA from 1 species